rnacentral:rRNA from 1 species
UGACCUCGGAUCAGGUAGGGAUACCCGCUGAACUUAAGCAUAUCAAUAAGCGGAGGAAAAGAAACCAACAGGGAUUGCCCUAGUAACGGCGAGUGAAGCGGCAACAGCUCAAAUUUGAAAUCUGGCUCUUUCAGGGUCCGAGUUGUAAUUUGCAGAGGGCGCUUUGGCGUUGGCAGCGGUUCAAGUUCCUUGGAACAGGACGUCACAGAGGGUGAGAAUCCCGUACGUGGUCGCUAACCUUCGCCGUGUAAAGCCCCUUCGACGAGUCGAGUUGUUUGGGAAUGCAGCUCUAAAUGGGAGGUAAAUUUCUUCUAAAGCUAAAUACUGGCCAGAGACCGAUAGCGCACAAGUAGAGUGAUCGAAAGAUGAAAAGCACUUUGGAAAGAGAGUCAAACAGCACGUGAAAUUGUUGAAAGGGAAGCGCUUGCAGCCAGACUUGCCUGUAGUUGCUCAUCCGGGCUUUUGCCCGGUGCACUCUUCUGCGGGCAGGCCAGCAUCAGUUUGGACGGUUGGAUAAAGGUCUCUGUCAUGUACCUCUCUUCGGGGAGGCCUUAUAGGGGAGACGACAUGCAACCAGUCUGGACUGAGGUCCGCGCAUUUGCUAGGAUGCUGGCGUAAUGGCUGUAAGCGGCCCGUCUUGAAACACGGACCAAGGAGUCUAACAUCUAUGCGAGUGUUUGGGUGUCAAGCCCGAACGCGUAAUGAAAGUGAACGGAGGUGGGACCCCAUUAGGGUGCACCAUCGACCGAUCCUGAUGUCUUCGGAUGGAUUUGAGUAAGAGCAUAGCUGUUGGGACCCGAAAGAUGGUGAACUAUGCUUGAAUAGGGUGAAGCCAGAGGAAACUCUGGUGGAGGCUCGCAGCGGUUCUGACGUGCAAAUCGAUCGUCAAAUUUGGGCAUAGGGGCGAAAGACUAAUCGAACUAUCUAGUAGCUGGUUCCUGCCGAAGUUUCCCUCAGGA